CUGAAAUUGAAAUUGUAUAAACCAAUCAGCAAAUAUCACAGAGCCAAAGUCACAUGGGAUCAUAGUACUGGUCUAGUGUUGCUGUUAGACACAUCUACCACUGGCCAGCCUCCAAAUUCCUCACACAGAA
rnacentral:snoRNA from 1 species